rnacentral:rRNA from 1 species
ACCCUUGUAUAUUAUAUCUUUGUUGCUUUGGCAGGCCGCCUCCGGGCACCGGCUUACGCUGGAUCGUGCCUGCCAAAGCGCCCCAAAUUCUGAAUGUUAGUGUCGUCUGAGUACUAUAUAAUAGUUAA